GUCGACUAGCUUUGGCUGUACAUAAUCUAAACUCGGAACGAUACGGAGUUCAUCGUUGCCCCUGCGCAACGAUGACACGCAAAUUUGUGAAGUAUGCCAGAUAUUC